rnacentral:snoRNA from 1 species
UAGUCUCCUGCCUCGCUCGGUCACUGCCGCCUCAUGGUUUGAUCUUGAGCUGGAUGCACUGACAUGUGUACGAGACGAGAGGGACUCGACGGUCUUUGAGUACGAGAAGGCUAAAAGCUUACCAGCGGCCUGUUCGUAAUUUAUCAGUCGAGACAGAA